GUUGGUUCGACGAUGGCCCAAGCGUGGUGACCGUGGCAGCCUUGGUGAACGCCCUGGACUCUGGUUGCUUGGCUCAGCCUUGCCAACUGACCGAGCACUUCCAUACAUGAUUAAGCUGGUGGUGUGAGGCAAUUAGACAGGCAUAAAUUAGGAAUGAGAGAAAUCCCGUGAAGCUCUUCAGUGUUUGUAAGUCAGCUUAAGGCCAAUCAGAAUUUGUAAUAGAUCCAGUUGUCCAUCUUUGAAGUCACAUGCUCACAACGUCCAGGACCACAUCUGCCCGUCAGCGCCACGGCGAGCCCGGUCGCCUCCGCCUCUC
rnacentral:lncRNA from 1 species